CAAUAGCGUAUAUUAAAGUUGUUGCAGUUAAAAAGCUCGUAGUUGAAUUUCUGUACAUUCCCGGUGCCGGCUCUUGUCGAACCGUGGAGUGUGCAUCCGCUUACAAACUUAGCCCGGUCUUCAUUGGUCGACUAAGGGAGUAGGCCCUUUACUUUGAAAAAAUUAGAGUGUUUCAAGCAGGCAAUGGCUCGAAUACAUUAGCAUGGAAUAAUGGAAUAGGACUGAGGUCCAUUUGGUUGGUUAUUGGACUUUGGUAAUGAUUAACAGGGACAGUUGGGGGCAUUAGUACUUAACAGUCAGAGGUGAAAUUCUUGGAUUUGUUAAAGACUAACUUAUGCGAAAGCAUUUGCCAAGGAUGUUUUCAUUA
rnacentral:rRNA from 1 species